UACGUAGGGUCCAAGCGUUAAUCGGAAUUACUGGGCGUAAAGCGUGCGCAGGCGGUUUUGUAAGUCUGAUGUGAAAUCCCCGGGCUCAACCUGGGAAUUGCAUUGGAGACUGCAAGGCUAGAAUCUGGCAGAGGGGGGUAGAAUUCCACGUGUAGCAGUGAAAUGCGUAGAGAUGUGGAGGAACACCGAUGGCGAAGGCAGCCCCCUGGGUCAAGAUUGACGCUCAUGCACGAAAGCGUGGGGAGCAAACAGG
rnacentral:rRNA from 1 species